rnacentral:rRNA from 1 species
UACGUAGGGUGCGAGCGUUAAUCGGAAUUACUGGGCGUAAAGCGUGCGCAGGCGGUUUUGUAAGCCAGAUGUGAAAUCCCCGGGCUUAACCUGGGAAUGGCAUUUGGGACUGCAAGGCUUGAGUGCGGCAGAGGAGACUGGAAUUCCUGGUGUAGCAGUGAAAUGCGUAGAUAUCAGGAGGAACACCGAUGGCGAAGGCAGGUCUCUAGGCUGACACUGACGCUCAUGCACGAAAGCGUAGGGAGCAAACAGG